UACGGGGGGGGCAAGCGUUUGUUCGGAAUUACUGGGCGUAAAGGGUGCGUAGGCGGCUUUCUAAGUUGGAUGUGAAAACUAUGGGCUCAACCCAUAGCCUGCAUCCAAAACUGGAGAGCUUGGGUUCUGGAGGGGAAAGGCGGAAUUCCUGGUGUGAGCGGUGAAAUGACGCAGAUAUCAGGAGGGAACACCGGUGGCGAAGGCGGGGUCUCUGGGCCGAUACUGACGCUGGAGGAGCGAAAGCGUGGGGAGCGAAC
rnacentral:rRNA from 1 species